rnacentral:rRNA from 1 species
GUGAGGAAUAUUGCGCAAUGGAGGCAACUCUGACGCAGCCAUGCCGCGUGCAGGAAGAAGGCGCUACGCGUUGUAAACUGCUUUUAACCGGGAAGAAACCCCAGGAUGUGUCCUGGGUUGACGGUACCGGAGGAAUAAGCACCGGCUAACUUCGUGCCAGCAGCCGCGGUAAUACGAAGGGUGCAAGCGUUAUCCGGAUUCAUUGGGUUUAAAGGGUGCGUAGGCGGAGCGUUAAGUCAGUGGUGAAAUCCUGCAGCUUAACUGUAGACUUGCCAUUGAUACUGGCGCUCUUGAGUGCGCUUGAAGUGGGCGGAAUGUGCCGUGUAGCGGUGAAAUGCUUAGAUAUGGCACAGAACACCAAUUGCGAAGGCAGCUCACUAAGGCGAUACUGACGCUGAGGCACGAAAGCGUGGGGAUCGAACAGGAUUAGAUACCCCUGUAGUCC